AUUCAUUCAUCAUCUUAGCCGAAUUUGAGAAAGAAAAAUCAGCCAUUUUUAGGGCUAAACAUUCGACCAAGCUUCCUUUGUCAAUUAAGAUUGAGAAAAAUGAGAUUCAGAUCUAGAACGUGGGAAAAUAAAGUAUCGAAUUAGUCAAUUUAAUUCGUCGUUACAGCGAACGAGUGUUUCGGAUGUUUGCUAGGUUGAAAGUCGGCGGAGAUCGCAUCAGACUAUCUGAUUUUUGACUUUGGUAUUUAUACACUUAUGACUUGGUUAUAUGGCAUGUAUAGGUUUGAGUCUUUUUUAUAAAGGUUUUGGUGAUGUAUUUGGCUAUUUUAUAUGGUUUAUUAAUGACUUAUGUUUGAUGUGUAA